rnacentral:lncRNA from 1 species
UCCCAUUUCUCUAGGGGAGAGUGAGGAGGUUGCAUUGUGGAAGAGCAUGUGGGAUAGGAAAUACUGUUGCAGUUUAUCUUUGAAAAAUACAAUCGGCCACAGACUUCAGUGAUCUUCCGGUUACUAAAUCCAAGGGACAUGCCUUAGCCUACUUCUGCUGCUAUAGCAAAACACCUGAGACUAGGUCCAUAAAAGCCCCGGGCUUAGCUAGAGCAAGAGAGGAGGGAGAGAACGGAGAGAAGAAGGCACAGGAAGACCAGCUGCAGAGAGGAGCUACCCUCUCUGCUGAGAGCUUCAGAGACCUGCAGAGACAUCCGGACUACCAGCUGCAGACAGGAGCAACCCUCUCCAGGGCCUCCUCUCUGCUGAGAGCAGCAGACGUCGGGAUAACCUGCCUACAGAAAGGAGCUACCCACUGUGGGUCUCCUCUGAGCCGUUCUAACACUUAAUAAAGCUCAUCUUCAUCUUGUUCACCCUUCACUUGUUUGCAUAUCUCAUUCUUCCUGGACACAGGACAAGAACUCAGGCUGGCCACAGAGGUUUCCAGCCAGAAAAUUGACACCUCAAAGAUUC